ensembl:snRNA U6 U6 spliceosomal RNA
GUGCUUCCUUUGGCAGCACAUAUACUAAAAUUGGAAUGAUACAGAGAAAAUUAGCAUGGCCUCUGAGCAAGAAUGACACACAAAUUCAUGAAACAUUCCAUAUAUAA